rnacentral:rRNA from 1 species
GACGAACGCUGGCGGCGCGCUUAACACAUGCAAGUCGAGCGAAGCGGCGGACGGGUGAGUAACACGUGAGUAACCUUCCUUAGACAUUGGGAUAGCCUCGGUAAACCGGGCUUAAUACCAAAUGGUCUAAGAUGGACUCGCGUCACAUUAGCUAGUUGGUGAGGUAACGGCCCACCAAGGCGACGAUGGGUAGCCGGCCGGAGAGGGGGAACGGCAACAUUGGAACUGAGAAACGGUCCAAACUCUACGGGAGGCAGCAGUGGGGAAUAUUGCACAAGGGAGGGAACUCUGAGGCAGCGACGGCGCGUGAACGAAGAAGGCUUUCGAGUCGUAAAGUUCUUUUAUAUGGGAAGCGGUACCAUAAGAAAAAGCCCCGGCUAACUACGUGCCAGCAGCCGCGGUAAUUC